rfam:Nadsonia fulvescens var. elongata DSM 6958 unplaced genomic scaffold NADFTscaffold_1, whole genome shotgun sequence.
GGACGGUUAGUGUAGUGGUUAUCAUCCUUGCCUUCCAAGCAGGGGACGGGUGUUCGAUUCCCCCACCGUUCA